CCUCUGGUAGCUCAGUUGGUAGAGCGGUGGACUGUAGUAGUAACGGAGGAUAGAGACGAUAAGUUGUAAUCCAUAGGUCGCUGGUUCAAAUCCGGCCCGGAGGA
rnacentral:tRNA from 1 species